rnacentral:rRNA from 1 species
AUGUACAUGCACAACGUCUUCGGCCCGCCGGGCCAGAGGGUGGUGCUCAUCGUCAAGGGUGCCGGCCCGAUGAAUCCGUCCUUGCCGCCGGAGCACUACUUCGGCGAGACGUACGCGUUCGACGAAUCCCUCACCCAGAACCGGAGCUCCUCGUCCAAGCAGGUGGGCCGCGCGGAGGGCACCGCCAUGCUGGCGUCCAUGCGGCACCCGGUGUACCUGGUGAACAUGGUGAUGCUGCUCACUGGCGGGGAGUACGACGGGAGCACCAUCGUCGUGGAGGGCCGGCACGACGCGUCCAAGAAGGAGAGGGAGCUGGCGGUGGUCGGCGGCACCGGGGAGUUCCGGCUGGCGUCCGGCUACGUCAACUGCACCACGGCAAGGGAGGAGAAGAAGUUCACCGUCUACGAGCUCAACGUCAACGCCACCAUCCCCGGCGAUGACAGCGAGCCAGAGCCUGAUACGGGGAGGCGACGCCGACGAAUCCCUCGUUUCUGA